UGGGGGUGACCCUGACAUAUGUGAAAAUGCACCUGCUUUCUUUUACUGUGAGGUGGAUGGAAGCUCCCUUUGUUUGCAGUGCGAUAUGAUUGUUCAUGUAGGAGGUAAAAGAACCCAUGAAAGAUAUCUUGUAUUGAGGCAGAGAAUUGAGUUUCCCGAGGAUAAGCCUGG